rnacentral:snRNA from 1 species
AUACUUACCUGGCAGGGAAGAUGCCAUGAUUAAGAAGGUGGUUUUCCAGGGCGAGGCUUAUCCAUUGCACUCCAGAUGUGCUGACCCCUGCGAGUUCCAAUGUGGGAAUCGACUGCAAAAUGUGGGAAACUUCGACUGCAUACUUUGUGGUAGUGGGGGACUGCAUUCGCGCUCUACCCUG